UACGGAGGGGGCUAGCGUUGUUCGGAAUUACUGGGCGUAAAGCGCACGUAGGCGGCUUUGUAAGUUAGAGGUGAAAGCCCGGAGCUCAACUCCGGAAUUGCCUUUAAGACUGCAUCGCUUGAAUCAUGGAGAGGUGAGUGGAAUUCCGAGUGUAGAGGUGAAAUUCGUAGAUAUUCGGAAGAACACCAGUGACGAAGGCGACUCACUGGACAUGUAUUGACGCUGAGGUGCGAAAGCGUGGGGAGCAAACAGG
rnacentral:rRNA from 1 species